AUCAGCACUUAAUUGGAUAUUAAUUUCAUAAUUUGAAAAUCAAAGAUUGUAUCAGUUAUUUAGAAAACAAUUGGAGCUGCCGAAAUUUUUUUGUUGUUGCAGUGGGUUUUUGAAGAUGAAUACUUCGAUUUUGAUGAGAUAUUCCGGAAUUUGGGUGAACGAAUUGCAGUAUGAAAAUUACAAAAUUGAUGGAAUCGUUGUUGGUGAUUCAAUUUCGUUUUCUAAUCUCAAAGCAGCAAUUGCGGCCGAGUUGGACAUUGAUGUAUCAAGGAAAGAAAUUGAAAUUCGAUACAUUGUAGAAGGAAUUCAUACUACAUGCAGAACAUGUGAUACAUAGCUACUACAUGUAUCAUUACAUUGACUAAACAAUGUACACACAGAUUCAACAUGUAUCAUCAAGCACAUAUUAUACUUUACUACACUUAUAUUACUAUGAAGUAAUAGAACAAUUAACAAAAACGAAAAAGAGAAGAAUAUACGAAUUGAUGAUGGAUUAACUAUAAAAAGGGUCUGGGUUCUUACGAUUCAAUAUUAGGAAGAAAUAGUCGAAUAUGGAUUAAGAAUAAAAAGAAGAAAAUAGAAAAA